rnacentral:tRNA from 1 species
GCCUCAGUAGCUCAGUUAGCCAGAGCAGCUGCCUUGUAAGCAGCAGGUCGUCGGCGCAAAUCCGGCCUGGGGCU